UACGUAGGGGCCGAGCGUUGUCCGGAGUUAUUGGGCGUAAAGCGCGCGCAGGCGGCCUCGCGCGCCCGACGUGAAAGCCCCGGCUUAACCGGGGAGGGUCGUUGGGACGGCGGGCUUGAGGGCGGGAGAGGUGGUGGAAUUCCCGGUGUAGUGGUGAAAUGCGUAGAGAUCGGGAGGAACACCCGUGGCGAAGGCGGCCACCUGGC
rnacentral:rRNA from 1 species